rnacentral:rRNA from 1 species
UUUCUUGCUCCUCCUUCCGGUUGCUACCCUCUGCUCUUAAGUGAGUGGGGGGGUCAGCUCCGGAUCAUUUACUUUAAAAAAAUUAGAGUUUUUAAAGCAGGCAUUUAUCGUGCGGUUGGAUAUAUUAGCAUGGGAUAAUAGAAUAGGAGUUCUCACCCUAUUUUGUUGGUUUUGAGGCGAGAACUAAUGAUUAAUAGAGAUAGUUGGGGGUAUUCAUAUUUAAUUGUCAGAGGUGAAAUUCUUGGAUUAAUUAAAGAUGAACUUCUGCGAAAGCAUCUACCAAGGAUGUUUUCAUUGAUCAAGAACGAAAGUUAGGGGAUCGAAGACGAUCAGAUACCGUCGUAGUCUUAACAGUAAACAAUGCCGACCAGGGAUUGGGAGACGUUACAUGGAUGACUCCCCCAGCACCUUGCGAGAAAUCAUAAGUUUUUGGGUUCCGGGGGGAGUAUGGUCGCAAGGCUGAAACUUAAAGGAAUUGACGGAAGGGCACCACCAGGAGUGGAGCCUGCAGCUUAAUUUGACCCAACACGGGAAAACUUACCAAGUCCAGACAUAAGAAGGAUUGACAGAUUGAGAGCUCUUUCUUGAUUCUAUGGGUGGUGGUGCAUGGCCGUUCUUAGUUGGUGGAGUGAUUUGUCUGGUUAAUUCCGUUAACGAACGAGACCUCAGCCUGCUAACUAGUUACGCUGGUCGUCUACUCGAGUGAACUGCCUGUAGCGGCAGGGUUUACUCCUUGUCGCAUCGGGUGGGGAUCUUUGAUGUGCCGGUGGAAAUACUUCUUAGAGGGACUAUUUGUAUCUAGCAAAUGGAAGUUUGAGGCAAUAACAGGUCUGUAUGCCCUUAGAUGUUUUGGGAUGCACGCGCGCUACAAUGAUGAAGUCAACGAGUCUAACACCUUGGCCGGAAGGUCUGGGUAAUCUUUUGAAACUUCAUCGUAAUGGGGAUUGAUCUUUUAAUUAUCGAUCAUUAACGAGGAAUUCCUAGUAAGCGUGGUUCAUCAAACCACGUUGAUUUCGUCCCUGCCCUUUGUACACACCGCCCGUCGCUCCUACCGAUUGAAUGAUCCGGUGAAAUCUCCGGAUUGGGGGGUCCAACUGUCGGGGCAACUCGGCAGUAACUCACCGAGAAGCUGAUUAAACCUUAUCAUUUAGAGGAAGGAGAAGUCGUAACAAGGUUUCCGUAGGUGAACCUGCGGAAG